GUAUAAACUAGUCGGGCAUUCGCGCUUCAUACGAAUGGACAGCGUUUAACACUUUUAAAUGCAAACUAAUAUGCGUUUAUAGAGUCUGGCUUAUUUAUUGAACCGUUUAAAAAAAGUGUUACACUAUGGCGGAUGGGGCUUUGGUCUUUGGAGCGAAUCUAAACGCGAGUUUGACCUCUCGAGCAAAGAAAGUCAACAACAACAGCAUUUCAGUAGCAGCGAACAUGAGGAGAAAGACGCGACAGAGCAACAGAAGAGACAUUCACAACCGGGUCGUCUUGGAGAAGGUCCUGGGCAUCACUGCCUCCAGCAGCAGUGCUUUAACCUGUGACCCCAACACUGGUUUGGUGGCAUAUCCUGCAGGGUAAGACUAUUUCUAUUCAUGCAUUCUGUGUCCAA